CGGGGGGGGCAAGCGUUGUUCGGAAUUACUGGGCGUAAAGGGCUCGUAGGCGGCCAACUAAGUCAGACGUGAAAUCCCUCGGCUUAACCGGGGAACUGCGUCUGAUACUGGAUGGCUCGAGUUUGGGAGAGGGAUGCGGAAUUCCAGGUGUAGCGGUGAAAUGCGUAGAUAUCUGGAGGAACACCGGUGGCGAAGGCGGCAUCCUGGACCAACACUGACGCUGAGUGAGCGAAAGCCAGGGGAGCAAACGGGAUUAGAUACCCCGGUAGUCCUGGCCCUAAACGAUGAAUGCUUGGUGUGGCGGGUAUCGAUCCCUGCCGUGCCGAAGCUAACGCAUUAAGCAUUCCGCCUGGGGAGUACGGUCGCAAGGCUG
rnacentral:rRNA from 1 species